UACGGGGGGGGCAAGCGUUGUUCGGAAUCAUUGGGCGUAAAGCGCACGUAGGCGGUUCGUUAUGUCGGAUGUGAAAGCCCUCGGCUUAACCGGGGAAGUGCAUCCGAAACUGGCGAGCUUGAGUACUAAAGAGGGUCGCGGAAUUCCCGGUGUAGAGGUGAAAUUCGUAGAUAUCGGGAGGAACACCAGCGGCGAAGGCGGCGACCUGGGUAGAUACUGACGCUGAGGUGCGAAAGCGUGGGGAGCAAACAGG
rnacentral:rRNA from 1 species